rnacentral:rRNA from 1 species
GGUGUAGGUGGCUCUAUAAGUCAGGAGUGAAAGCCCCAGGCUUAACUUGGGAAGUGCUUUUGAUACUGUAGAGCUUGAAUGUGGGAGAGGAUCGUAGAAUUCCAGGUGUAGUGGUGAAAUACGUAGAUAUCUGGAGGAAUACCGGUGGCGAAGGCGGCGAUCUGGCCCAACAUUGACACUGAGACCCGAAAGUGCGGGGAUCAAACA